CGCGGGGUAGAGCAGAGGUAGCUCGGGGGUCUCAUAAGCCCCAGGCCCGGGUUCGAUUCCCGGCCCCGCAA
rfam:Parcubacteria bacterium GW2011_GWC1_43_12 TV67_C0011, whole genome shotgun sequence.